GACGAACGCUGGCGGCGCGCCUAACACAUGCAAGUCGAACGAGCCUAGGGGAGCUUGCUCUCCGAAGCUAGUGGCGGACGGGUGAGUAACGCGUGGGUAACCUGCCUCAUACAGGGGGAUAACAGUUAGAAAUGACUGCUAAUACCGCAUAAGCGCACAGUACCGCAUGGUACGGUGUGAAAAACUCCGGUGGUAUGAGAUGGACCCGCGUCUGAUUAGCUAGUUGGUGAGGUAACGGCUCACCAAGGCGACGAUCAGUAGCCGACCUGAGAGGGUGACCGGCCACAUUGGGACUGAGACACGGCCCAA
rnacentral:rRNA from 1 species